CGGCCCUAUCACACCGGUUCCCGUACAGUAACUGAAGUUAAGAAAGUUCGAGCCUGGUCAGUACCUAGAUGGGUGACCACUUGGGAAUACCAG